rnacentral:rRNA from 1 species
AGCGAACGCUGGCGGCAGGCCUAACACAUGCAAGUCGGACGAAGUCUUCGGACUUAGUGGCGGACGGGUGAGUAACACGUGGGAACGUGCCUUUAGGUUCGGAAUAACUCAGGGAAACUUGUGCUAAUACCGAAUGUGCCCUUCGGGGGAAAGAUUUAUCGCCUUUAGAGCGGCCCGCGUCUGAUUAGCUAGUUGGUGAGGUAAAGGCUCACCAAGGCGACGAUCAGUAGCGGGUCGGAGAGGAUGAUCAGCCACAUUGGGACUGAGACACGGCCCAAACUCCUACGGGAGGCAGCAGUGGGGAAUCUUGCGCAAUGGGCGAAAGCCUGACGCAGCCAUGCCGCGUGAAUGAUGAAGGUCUUAGGAUUGUAAAAUUCUUUCACCGGGGACGAUAAUGACGGUACCCGGAGAAGAAGCCCCGGCUAACUUCGUGCCAGCAGCCGCGGUAAAAC